rnacentral:rRNA from 1 species
GAUGAACGCUGGCGGCGUGCUUAACACAUGCAAGUCGAACGAUGAAGCCCAGCUUGCUGGGUGGAUUAGUGGCGAACGGGUGAGUAACACGUGAGUAACCUGCCCUUAACUCUGGGAUAAGCCUGGGAAACUGGGUCUAAUACCGGAUAGGAGCGUCCACCGCAUGGUGGGUGUUGGAAAGAUUGAUCGGUUUUGGAUGGACUCGCGGCCUAUCAGCUUGUUGGUGAGGUAAUGGCACACCAAGGCGACGACGGGUAGCCGGCCUGAGAGGGUGACCGGCCACACUGGGACUGAGACACGGCCCAGACUCCUACGGGAGGCAGCAGUGGGGAAUAUUGCACAAUGGGCGCAAGCCUGAUGCAGCGACGCCGCGUGAGGGAUGACGGCCUUCGGGUUGUAAACCUCUUUCAGUAGGGAAGAAGCGAAAGUGACGGUACCUGCAGAAGAAGCACCGGCUAACUACGUG